GCGAGUGAAGCGGGAAGAGCUCAAAUUUGAAAUCUAAUGGCCUCAGGUCAUUCGAGUUGUAAUCUAUAGGAACGUUUUCCGUGCCGGCUCAUGUACAAGUCCCUUGGAACAGGGCGUCAUAGAGGGUGAGAAUCCCGUACUUGACAUGAACUACCGGUGCUCUGUGAUACGUCUCCAACGAGUCGAGUUGUUUGGGAAUGCAGCUCAAAAUGGGUGGUAAAUUCCAUCUAAAGCUAAAUAUUGGUGUGAGACCGAUAGCGAACAAGUACCGUGAGGGAAAGAUGAAAAGCACUUUGGAAAGAGAGUUAAAAAGUAUGUGAAAUUGUUGAAAGGGAAACGAUUGAAGUCAGUCAUGUCCUUCAGAUUCAGCUGGUUCUGCCGGUGUAUUUCUGUUGGAUGGGGUCAACAUCAGUUUUGGAUGCCGGAUAAAGGCAGGAGGAAGGUAGUACUCUCGGGUAAACUUAUAGCCUCCUGUUGCAUACGGUGACUGGGACUGAGGAACGCAGCUUGCCUUUAUGGCCGGGGUUCGCCCACGUACAAGCUUAGGAUGUUGACAUAAUGGCUUUAAACGACCC
rnacentral:rRNA from 1 species